rnacentral:rRNA from 1 species
CUACGGGACGCAGCAGUGAGGAAUUUUGCGCAAUGGGCGAAAGCCUGAUGCAGCAACGCCGCGUGGAGGAUGACGCAUUUCGGUGUGUAAACUCCUUUUAUAUGUCAAGAAAAUGACGGUAGCAUAUGAAUAAGCACCGGCUAACUCCGUGCCAGCAGCCGCGGUAAUACGGAGGGUGCAAGCGUUACUCGGAAUCACUGGGCGUAAAGGACGCGUAGGCGGGUUGGAAAGUCAGGUGUGAAAUCCUACAGCUUAACUGUAGAACUGCACUUGAAACUUCUAAUCUAGAGUAUGGGAGGGGGAGAUGGAAUUAGUGGUGUAGGGGUAAUAUCCGUAGAUAUCACUAGGAAUACCUAAAGCGAAGGCGAUCUCCUGGAACAUUACUGACGCUAAGGCGUGAAAGCGUGGGGAGCAAACAGGAUUAGAUACCCGCGUAGUC